UACACAURCAGUCGAGCGGAUGARKGGAGCUUGCUCCMKGAUUCAGCGGCGGACGGGUGAGUAAUGCCUAGGAAUCUGCCUGRUAGUGGGGGACAACGUUUCGAAAGGAACGCUAAUACCGCAUACGUCCUACGGGAGAAAGCAGGGGACCUUCGGGCCUUGCGCUAUCAGAUGAGCCUAGGUCGGAUUAGCUGGUUGGUGAGGUAAUGGCUCACCAAGGCGACGAUCCGUAACUGGUCUGAGAGGAUGAUCAGUCACACUGGAACUGAGACACGGUCCAGACUCCUACGGGAGGCAGCAGUGGGGAAUAUUGGACAAUGGGCGAAAGCCUGAUCCAGCCAUGCCGCGUGUGUGAAGAAGGUCUUCGGAUUGUAAAGCACUUUAAGUUGGGAGGAAGGGCRGUAAGCUAAUACCUUGCUGUYUUGACGUUACCGACAGAAUAAGCACCGGCUAACUUCGUGCCAGCAGCCGGCGGUAAAYAA
rnacentral:rRNA from 1 species